rnacentral:rRNA from 1 species
CCUACGGGAGGCAGCAGUGGGGAAUAUUGGGCAAUGGGCGCAAGCCUGACCCAGCAACGCCGCGUGAAGGAAGAAGGCCUUCGGGUUGUAAACUUCUUUUGUCAGGGACGAAGCAAGUGACGGUACCUGACGUAUAAGCUACGGCUAACUACGUGCCAGCAGCCGCGGUAAUACGUAGGUGGCAAGCGUUAACCGGAUUUAUUGGGUGUAAAGGGCGUGUCGGGGGGAAUGCAAGUCAGAUGGGAAAACUAUGGGCUCAACCCAUAGCCUGCAUUUGAAACUGUAUUUCUUGAGUGCUGGAGAGGCAAUCGGAAUUCCGUGUGUAGCGGUGAAAUGCGUAGAUAUACGGAGGAACACCAGUGGCGAAGGCGGAUUGCUGGACAGUAACUGACGCUGAGGCGCGAAAGCGUGGGGAGCAAACAGGAUUAGAUACCCCAGUAGUC